rnacentral:rRNA from 1 species
AUGAACGCUGGCGGCGUGCCUAAUACAUGCAAGUCGAGCGAACAGACGAGGAGCUUGCUCCUCUGACGUUAGCGGCGGACGGGUGAGUAACACGUGGAUAACCUACCUAUAAGACUGGGAUAACUUCGGGAAACCGGAGCUAAUACCGGAUAAUAUAUUGUACCGCAUGGUUCAAUAGUGAAAGACGGUUUUGCUGUCACUUAUAGAUGGAUCCGCGCCGCAUUAGCUAGUUGGUAAGGUAACGGCUUACCAAGGCAACGAUGCGUAGCCGACCUGAGAGGGUGAUCGGCCACACUGGAACUGAGGCACGGUCCAGACUCCUACGGGAGGCAGCAGUAGGGAAUCUUCCGCAAUGGGCGAAAGCCUGACGGAGCAACGCCGCGUGAGUGAUGAAGGUCUUCGGAUCGUAAAACUCUGUUAUUAGGGAAGAACAAAUGUGUAAGUAACUAUGCACGUCUUGACGGUACCUAAUCAGAAAGCCACGGCUAACUACGUG